rnacentral:rRNA from 1 species
UACAGAGGUCUCAAGCGUUGUUCGGAUUCAUUGGGCGUAAAGGGUGCGUAGGCGGCGCGGUAAGUCGGGUGUGAAAUCUUGGAGCUUAACUCCGAAACUGCAUUCGAUACUGCCGUGCUUGAGGACUGGAGAGGAGACUGGAAUUUACGGUGUAGCGGUGAAAUGCGUAGAUAUCGUAAGGAAGACCAGUGGCGAAGGCGGGAUCUCUGGACA